rnacentral:rRNA from 1 species
UGGGGAAUUUUGGACAAUGGGCGCAAGCCUGAUCCAGCCAUGCCGCGUGCGGGAAGAAGGCCUUCGGGUUGUAAACCGCUUUUGUCAGGGAAGAAAUCUUCUGAGUUAAUACCUCGGGAGGAUGACGGUACCUGAAGAAUAAGCACCGGCUAACUACGUGCCAGCAGCCGCGGUAAUACGUAGGGUGCAAGCGUUAAUCGGAAUUACUGGGCGUAAAGCGUGCGCAGGCGGUUUUGUAAGACAGAGGUGAAAUCCCCGGGCUCAACCUGGGAACUGCCUUUGUGACUGCAAGGCUUGAGUGCGGCAGAGGGGGAUGGAAUUCCGCGUGUAGCAGUGAAAUGCGUAGAUAUGCGGAGGAAC